AUAUCUUUUUCGGCCUAUUGACUAAGAUUAAGUGUAGUAUCUAUUCUUAUCAGUAUAAUAUCUUAUAUCUGAACUAAUGGUUCACAUGAUAUGAAAUUAUUUUUUUUAAGGGGUGAGUCCCAAGUCCCAACAAUAGCUUGUUAUUGGGGCUCACGUGUGUCAUUCAUGCGUUGCACUAUUGCAGGAUUUGGCACACCCUAC